rnacentral:rRNA from 1 species
UACGUAGGGGGCAAGCGUUGUCCGGAUUUAUUGGGCGUAAAGAGCGUGUAGGCGGCCUGAAAGGUCAGCUGUGAAAACUCGAGGCUUAACCUCGAGACGUCGGUUGAAACCAUCUGGCUAGAGUCCGGAAGAGGAGAGUGGAAUUCCUGGUGUAGCGGUGAAAUGCGCAGAUAUCAGGAAGAACACCCGUGGCGAAGGCGGCUCUCUGGGACGGUACUGACGCUGAGACGCGAAAGCGUGGGGAGCGAACAGG